rnacentral:misc_RNA from 1 species
GCACCACACAGUCAACUGAUCGUUCACCGAAUCCUUCGACUACUAGCUCAGAAGCAACUGGCAAUCCUGCACCAAAUACUAACCCACUUCCAAAUCCCUGGAACAGUGCAACAGGAGGGGCACAAACAGCUGGGACAAGGCCACCUCCUACCACUGAUGCACGGGCGCCAAGCAUUGCUGGGUUAGGUGGUAUUGGCUUACCAGGGUUGAGUGCUAUGCCUGAUCGCUUGAACCAAGUUUUGGAAAAUCCCGCCAUGGCUCAGAUGAUGCAGACUCUCCUCUCCAACCCUCAGUAUAUAAAUCAGAUUCUUGGUUCCAAUCCCCAAACUCGAACUCUACUUGAGUCCAAUCCACAAAUACGAGAAAUGCUGCAGAGUCCUGAAUUUCUUCGCCAGUUGUCAUCCCCUGAGACGCUGCAGAGCCUUCAGUCGUUUAACCAAUCUCUUUUCUCCCAGUUUGGUCGACAACAGCCAACCAUGGGGCAAAACCAGACAGCUGGCGACACAGGAGCAGCAAAUCCCUUGGGACUGGAGGCUUUGAUGAACAUGUUUGGUGGGCUUGGGGUUGGAGAUCUUGGGGUUCCUAAUUCUAAUACCUCCAAUGUGCCGCCUGAAGAGCUGUAUGCGACACAACUAUCUCAGCUCCAGGAAAUGGGUUUUUAUGACACCCAGGAGAACAUACGCGCUUUGAGUGCCACUGGAGGAAAUGUCCAUGCUGCAGUUGAUCGGCUCCUGGGAAAUUUAAAUUUUGGUCAGUAGAUAUUCAUCGUUUAUUUGUGCAUCUUUGAAUUUGUGG